rnacentral:rRNA from 1 species
UACAGAGGGUGCGAGCGUUAAUCGGAAUUACUGGGCGUAAAGCGUGCGUAGACGGUUAUUUAAGUCGGGUGUGAAAGCCCCGGGCUCAACCUGGGAAUUGCAUUCGAGACUGAAUAGCUAGGGUGCGGUAGAGGGAAGCGGAAUUUCCGGUGUAGCGGUGAAAUGCGUAGAUAUCAGGAGGAACACCGGUGGCGAAGGCGGGUCUCGUGGGCCGAUACUGACGCUGAGGAGCGAAAGCGUGGGGAGCGAACAGG